GACAGCAAGUACUAAAAAUAUUAAAAUCCGUAAAUUCAAAUUCCGUCUAUUUGAAAUUAAUUAGUACUUUUUUUUUUAGAGAUGGACUUAGUCUCACAAUAGACUAGCACUAAUGUGGUUCAAAUUCGCUUUUAGUGAAAAUCAAACCUAACACCUCUACAUAUAAGUGAAAAUGAAUACUACCAAUAAACCGUAGUAAUUUCAUUUUCUAAACAGAGAGUUAAGAAAAUAACUUAGAAAUAAAAUGACAUCCGUAAGUCACUCACUCAAUUUCUAAUCUAAGUAAAUUAAAUACAUAAUUUCCAACGGGUUGUACAUUUGCGUUUUCUCUUUAUACCUGACAACUUGAUGAUCCGUGCUUUGGUUCACCAACUCGACUCCGCCGCCAUGGCCGUUCAGUUCAACUUCGACUAGGUUGCUGUUGGGGUGGGGUGUUAGCACAACUAUUCACUUAUCAGAUAAUUCUCUCUAGUUGUAGAGCUGUAGAUGGACUCACUGUUCUAAAGAUCGGUCACAAAAUGGGAAAGCAUAUUAGACGGAAGCCUGGACAGAAUUAAGCGGAGCUGGCAGGGGCUGGUCGGGGACUAAGAGGACGUAUCGAGAACGCUGAAAUAUGGAAAAAAAAUAUUUGUUGCAGAGGCUGCGUUCGGUGUUCGCGCGAAGAAGAAGGCGCGUCUCUUUUUUAUCUCUUCAAGAUGUGGUCCCUCCAUCUUCCCCUUUUAUAUUGUUUUAAUUUAAGGUAAACUAUGGUUUGACCUCUUAAAUUAUUACUCCAGUUGAAAUUGAUCACUUAAAUUAUUUUUUUAGUAAAUUAACCUCCUAAACUAUUUAAAAUCUGCUAAUUAACCCCUUGCCUUUAGAUUCCGUCCACUAUGCCGUCAAAUUC
rnacentral:lncRNA from 1 species